UGGGAUAGCUCACUAGGUAAAACAUGAUACUGUUAAUAUCAGGAUUGUGGGUUCAAGCCCCACAUUGGGCACAA